CGCGUAGGCGGCCGAGCGGGUCGUGGGUGAAAUCCUCCAGCUUAACUGGAGAACUGCUUACGAUACCACUGCGGCUCAAGGAAGGAAGGGGCAAUCGGAACUGUCGGUGGAGCGGUGAAAUGCGUUGAUAUCGACAGGAACGCCGGUGGCGAAAGCGGAUUGCUGGUCCUUUUCUGACGCUAAUGCGCGAAAGCCAGGGGAGCAAACG
rnacentral:rRNA from 1 species